UGGGGGCAGGGAGAGGAGGAUGAGUGUCUGGGAAAGGGAAUGCCCCUGGAGUACCCUGUGAUGUGACUGAAGCUGAAGUAAUGUGGUAUGGAGCAGCAGAAAAGCUGAUUGCGAAGCAAUUAUCUGAAACAUGCCAUGAAGAUUUGAAGCAAAGGAAGGGAAAAAAACAUUUGCACUAUACCAGGAGGAAGUUUUGCCAUCGAUGGAUCAAGCAUUAAAUGAAGACGACAUGACAAACCACUUUCGUCUUUUUAGAUUGCUUUAUUAAAAACAAAAACAAAACAAUCUGAAAGAUAAUGGAGUCUCAUUUACACUAACAUCCCUGUAUACUCCUCUGGCAAUUUACCCUACAGCUGCUUUCAUGUAAAUGAGAUUCAGAUCCAAACUGCAGUCAUGCAGUACUAGGGGUCUGAUUCCCACUGACAGCAAUGAACGUUGUAUAUAUGUAGGGAUUGAAGGAUUGAGCUCUGGGUUUUCAUGGCAACUGAAGAUGAAUGAAAUUCAGCCAAAACAUUUUUUGGCUGAAAAAUGAAGAUUCAGUGACACCAAAACAUUUUGCAAAUUCAUGUCAAUUUCCCCAAAUUUUUUGUGUAAAAAAACCUCAAAAAUUCCAAAAAGUUGAUGAGUUUUGUUUCAACGGUUUUGAAAUGAAACAGGUUGAUUUUUCUAUUCAAAAUGACUUUUCCUUUUGAGAUUGCCUUCAAUUUUAUUUUUAAAACAUUUAAAAGGUGUUUAAAAUCAGAAUGGAAUGUUUUGUUUAACCUGAAAUGGUUUUUUGGUUGUUUCAUUUUUUUAAACCUUUUUAAUCUGAAGAAUUAAUUGAAAGUAUUACCCUUCCUAGGGCACACUGACUGAUCACAAUAAAUCAUUUUACUGUAGGAAAAAGGUUAAAUCAAACCACAAAGCCCACAGAGCCUUAGAUUUACAGCAGUCUAAAAGGGUUUGUAGGUUCAUUUCUUAAACAGUUGAAUUAUAGCUGCUUCUGGAUAUUGAUCUGUAAAGCACAGCGAACCACUAAUGCU